UGCUAACCACUGAGCCAAAUGCUUGCAUUUAUAAGGUGGCUGCUAUGAUUUCAGGACAUCCAAAAUGCUUUACCUGUCUUUAAUUGACGCUACGGUCUCCUUUCUCAGAAGCUACUGCCAGCACGCGCACAGUAAAACCAGUCAGUGCAGAAACUGAUUAGAUUUUAAACUUACCUUCGCAGACAUGUCCUCCAGGUCCAACUAUUGAUGUUUAGGCCUCUCCUGCCCUUAACAGCAAUCAUUUGUCAACCCACAGGGAACUAUUGAAUUAGGGCACAGGUCUACUUCGAGACACCACUAGAAGUUAUGACAAUGUAGGCAUCAGAGCAGAAGGGGACAGGCAUCCAGCAACAACUAAGCCUGCUGGAGGAUACAUUAUAUAGGAGCAUUAGGCCAGGAAAAAGGAAUCACAGAAGAGGCACUGUGGGCAUACAUAAGUUUCUUUUUGUUAUUGUAAAUAUUAUUGGAUAAAGUUGUGACCAAAUGUUUUUCUGGUGGGUUUUUUUCAGGAUUUUGGGGAAGAUUGUGCUGUGAUGGGCAACCAUGGAGGAAUGGAAAUGUCUCCACCUGCUGAGAAGGCCUCUGAAUCUCUGACGGCAAGAGCUGUAUCCUCAUAACAAGAUUGUGAAAGGCACAGCAGGCUACUUUGAACUUGGAUACCAACUCUGUGCAAUUUACCAGAUGGGACAAAACUGUAUGCAAUGUGCCCAGCACUUCCAAUGGCAACUGGUGAUGAGAACCCUGACUGUACUGUACUGCUGGUUAAAUACUUCAACAUACUGGGAGUCAAUCAACUAACUCAAGAUAAUGGGCCCUGUCUCCAACAAGCAGCUCCAACUCACCAGACCAAGUAUUCAUCACAUGCCAAACCCAUGAGAAAAGAACGUAGAAGAUUGGAGCACUGUAAUGAUAUCAGUAAAGUAACCUUGUGUAACACUGUGUGACUAUGUUUAAUGAGAUGAUUAUUGGCCCACAAAAUAUCAUGAACAAAAUUCAAUAAAGA